CCUACGGGUGGCAGCAGUGAGGAAUAUUGGUCAAUGGACGGAAGUCUGAACCAGCCAUGCCGCGUGCAGGAAGACGGCUCUAUGAGUUGUAAACUGCUUUUGUACAAGGGUAAACCUGAAUACGUGUAUUCAGCUGAAAGUACUGUACGAAUAAGGAUCGGCUAACUUCGUGCCAGCAGCCGCGGUAAUACGGCGGAUCCACGCGUUAUCCGGAUUUAUUGGGUGUAAAGGGUGCGUAGGCGGAUUGAUAAGUUAGAGGUGAAAUGUCCGGGCUUAACUCGGGAACUGCAUCUAAGACUGUAGACCUAGAGAGCAGAUGCGGUAGGCGGAAUGUAUGGUGUAGCGGUGAAAUGCUUAGAGAUCAGACAGAACACCGAUUGCGAAGGCAGCUUACCA
rnacentral:rRNA from 1 species